UACGAAGGUGGCAAGCGUUACUCGGAAUUACUAGGCGUAAAGGGCAGGUAGGUGGUUUGGUAAGUCUAUUGUGAAAGCUCCCGGCUUAACUGGGAGAGGUCAAUGGAUACUGCCGAACUUGAGUAUAGGAGAGGUUACUGGAAUUCCCGGUGUAGCGGUGAAAUGCGCAGAGAUCGGGAGGAACACCAAUGGCGAAGGCGAGUCCCUGGACAACACCUGACACUGAGGCACGAAAGCUAGGGGAGCAAACAGG
rnacentral:rRNA from 1 species